UGAUCUUCAAAGAGUUGAGGGGAGAAAAAUUUGGAGACGAAAAAGAAUGAGAUAGAAAAGGUUGAGAGAUUGAGAAAUUGAAAUUUGAACAAUAAAGAUAUGGUUGAAAAUUUGAGAGUGAAGGAAGCCAAAUUUCAACAAUUGGGAGCGGCCGAGAAGCAACAAAGGAAAGAGGAGCAGCUGGAAAUUAUUGUAAAGAAAAGGAGGCAAUAGGAGCCAAAUUUCAGCAAUUGGGAGUGGUUGAGAAGCAACAAAGGAAAGAGGAGCAGCUGGAAAUUAUUGAAAAGCAAAGGAAGCAAGAGGAGACAGCAUCAGAAACAGUGAGGACGAAGGUGUUGGAGAGGAUCUGAUUGAAUGGUCAUAGGAGCAAUGGAUUUUGAGUUCGCAACAACCUCUCUCUCAUUCACACCCAGAUCCGAGAUGUACAAUGUUCUUUUGAUUUUCCAUACUAUUGCAACCAGAGUGUUUGCUUUCACGGUGCUCAUCAUGGGACGUAGUGCAUAGGCUGAGGAACAAGUAAAUCACCAGAAUUUGCGCCUCAUGCUACUCUGGUGAUAUGAUGUAACUGCACUUUCCAGCAUGAUGCAGUGUGCUUAUUCAUUAACGGGCUAUUGAUUGUUGCAUUUAGAUAAAACAUGGAUAAACCCGGCCACUUAGUAAAAUUUCUGAACAGGUGUCUGGCAUAUAUGGUUAUCCCAUUUGAUGAGAGGAGCAUCCUGCAUACAAUUUUCUUUUUGAUGUAAGAAAAACUCCCAAGUGAAAUUUCUGAGCAGGUGUCUCAUGUAGCACCCCACUCCGGAGGGUAACAGCGUAAUGGAUUACUUCAAAGUUCAAACGUCCAGCAUUCUCUUUGUUCCAACCGUCCCCGGAGACUUUUCCUGCCAUGCAAAGAACUUGGGCAUAUAAUAUGAUGGAUGAGGUCACGAUUUUGGUACCUAAAAUUGGUGACUCAUUCUUGGGGAAGGGCCGCCGACCCCUGCAGCUGUUUUGUUUUCAUUUUUUAUCUAUUAAAAUUAUGAAAACCCACUUGGUAGGUGCCAAAUUACUGCUUGCCUGUUCGCAAUCACAGGACUUCAUGAAUUUGCACUAUGGAGUUCCCUAAAAUCCAAGUGUACUUGGCUGAUCCAAAUGGGAAUAGUUAUAUUUGAUAAGCUUAAUUAUAUACACUCUGAAGUUGUGUGUGUAUGGAUGGUUUUGUUUGGAAGCCCACUCCUAGAAAAUGGGUCAGUAGGUUUUAAGAUUAGAAGCCUAAUAGGGUCAGGUUUACGUUUUAGAUGAAUCUUUUUAAUUAUAGAGUUUAUUUAACAAA